rnacentral:lncRNA from 1 species
GGGACAGAACCAUUUUUGGUACUUAGUGAACCUACAGUAGUCCAUUCUUUUGAAAAUAAAAUGUAAAUUUUAUUCAAUUUUAAUGGGUAAAUGAAACAAAGAAUCCUCAACUGAAAUUGUUUAAAAAAAAUGUAUUCAGCUAUUAAGGGCAUACGAUACAGGUUUGAACCUGUAUUUACAGAUUGAUGAAAAUUUGCUAUAUAGGCUAUUUUGUACCUGAUUAAAUCAAAUAUGUAAUAAAAAAUAUACCUUCAUGUGCUAUUUUUUGAGUAAAAUGAGA